UCAGUCUUAUGUUCUAAAUAUUUAUUUUAAUCGUAAGGCAACUCUGUUUAAGUAUACUAAAAGAUUUAAUGGCUUCUUCCGGUUUUACUUUCUUACGAGUAACCGAGGAGAAACCACGGAUAAAUAUUAAAACGCACGCUCACUCACGCACGCACGCAUUCGCUUUGGCAAAUGUUUCUUUGAAUAAAGUGUUUUAAUAUAUUCG